GUGCGUGUAGAUUAUUUUGUUAGAUCGUAAGGCUGUUAACUUUGAGAAGGAUAUUUUGUUUCCCGCGGACG
rnacentral:tRNA from 1 species